rnacentral:rRNA from 1 species
AGAUUGAACGCUGGCGGCAUGCCUAACACAUGCAAGUCGAACGGGAGUAGCAAUACUCUAGUGGCGGACGGGUGAGGAAUACGUAGGAAUUUGCCCUUAAGUGGGGGAUAACCCGGGGAAACCCGGAUUAAUACCGCAUGACCUCGAAAGAGCAAAGUGGGGGAUCGCAAGACCUCACGCUUUUGGAGAAGCCUACGUCGGAUUAGCUAGUUGGUGAGGUAAUGGCUCACCAAGGCGACGAUCCGUAACUGGUCUGAGAGGAU